rnacentral:misc_RNA from 1 species
GAAAUGCGAUAAGUAAUGUGAAUUGCAGAAUUCCGUGAAUCAUCGAAUCUUUGAACGCACAUUGCGCCCUCUGGUAUUCCGGGGGGGCAUGCCUGUCCGAGCGUCAUUGCGAACCCCUCAAGCACGGCUUGUGUGAUGGGCCCUCCCGCGUCUUGGUCGUCAAGACGGGCCCGAAAUGCAGUGGCGGCUUCGCGGUUAUCCGAUCAGCCAGAGCGUAUGGGGACUCUCUCUCUUGUCACCCGCCCGCGGCGCGGACCGACGCCUGUCGACCUUUAUUCAUCUUCUCUCGGUUGACCUCGGAUCAGGUAGGGAUACCCGCUGAACUUAAGC